CGUGCCAAGAUGCCCGGUCGAGUGCCUUGCCGCGUGCCAAGUUGCCCGGUCGAGUGCCUUGCCGCGUGCCAUGAUGCCCGGUCGAGUGCCUUGCCGCGUGCCCAGAUGCCCGGUCGAGUGCCUUGCCGCGUGCCACGAUGCCCGGUCGGGUGCCUUGCCGCGUGCCAAGUUGCCCGGUCGGGUGCCUUGCCGCGUGCCAAGUUGCCCGGUCGAGUGCCUUGCCGCGUGCCAAGUUGCCCGGUCGAGUGCCUUGCCGCGUGCCAAGUUGCCCGGUCGGGUGCCUUGCCGCGUGCCACGAUGCCCGGUCGGGUGGCUUGCCGCGUGCCAAGUUGCCCGGUCGUGUGCCUUGGCGCGUGCCAAGUUGCCCGGUCGAGUGCCUUGGCGCGUGCCAAGUUGCCCGGUCGAGUGCCUUGCCGCGUGCCAAGUUGCCCGGUCGAGUGCCUUGCCGCGUGCCAAGUUGCCCGGUCGAGUGCCUUGCCGCGUGCCAUGAUGCCCGGUCGAGUGCCUUGCCGCGUGCCCAGAUGCCCGGUCGAGUGCCUUGCCGCGUGCCACGAUGCCCGGUCGGGUGCCUUGCCGCGUGCCAAGUUGCCCGGUCGGGUGCCUUGCCGCGUGCCAAGUUGCCCGGUCGAGUGCCUUGCCGCGUGCCAAGUUGCCCGGUCGAGUGCCUUGCCGCGUGCCAAGUUGCCCGGUCGGGUGCCUUGCCGCGUGCCACGAUGCCCGGUCGGGUGGCUUGCCGCGUGCCAAGUUGCCCGGUCGUGUGCCUUGGCGCGUGCCAAGUUGCCCGGUCGAGUGCCUUGGCGCGUGCCAAGUUGCCCGGUCGAGUGCCUUGCCGCGUGCCAAGUUGCCCGGUCGAGUGCCUUGCCGCGUGCCAAGUUGCCCGGUCGAGUGCCUUGCCGCGUGCCAAGUUGCCCGGUCGAGUGCCUUGCCGCGUGCCACGAUGCCCGGUCGGGUGCCUUGCCGCGUGCCACGAUGCCCGGUCGGGUGCCUUGCCGCGUGCCACGAUGCCCGGUCGGGUGCCUUGCCGCGUGCCAAGUUGCCCGGUCGAGUGCGUUGCCGCGUGCCAAGAUGCCCGGUCGAGUGCCUUGCCGCGUGCCAAGAUGCCCGGUCGAGUGCCUUGCCGCGUGUGCCAAGAUGCCCUGCCGUGUGCCAUUAUGACUCCUCGAGCAUGGCAUGUCUGUUCGUGGCACUUGGGUUUUCCUUCCUAUUGCUAUUAUAGGGGGGUAGAGGCUUUCGCAGACCUUGCCCGACUUGCCAUGUUGCCUUGCCGCGUGCCUUGUUGCCUUGCCGCGUGCCUUGUUGCCUUGCCGCGUGCCUUGUUGCCUUGUCACAUGCCGUGUUGCCUUGCCACGUGCCACUUGCCGCUUGCCUUGCCACAUGCCACAUGCCACUUGCCAUGUUGCCUUGUCGCUUGGCCGACUUGCCAUGUUGCCUUGUCGCUUUCCCGACUUGCCUUGUUGCCUUGCCGCGUGCCACGUGCCACAUGCCUUGUUGCCUUGCCCACCGCAUGCCCUUGACUAGCAACAUGACGUGCCAUGAUGCUUUGCCCGAUACACCGCAUGGCCUUGCUUGGAUAAUAACGUCACGUGCCAUGUUCCCUUGUCGCAUGCCUCUCCUCUUCCAUAACACCGCAUGGCCUUGCUUGGACAGCAACACGACGUGCCUUGUUCCCUUGUCGCAUGCCUCUCCUCUCCCAAAACACCGCAUAACCUUGCUUGGAUAGCAACAUCAUGUUUCAAUUUUCCACUAUUUUUCCUAUUUUUUAUUUUUAAUCAAUUAAUUUCAACAAAUAAUAAUUACUCGUAUUUUUUCGUGAUUUUUCUCUAUUUUUAACUAUUUUUAACUAUUUUUCCCUAUUUUUUUGCUAAAAAAAUAAUAAAUAAUUAUUUUAUUGCACAAAAAAAUAUAAUAACUAUUUUUCACAAUGUUAAUAAUUAUUUGUUUGCAUUUUGAUCGGUUAUUUCAAAAGAAAAUGAGUUUUACUUCACAAAACCCCCAUUAUGACUCCUCGAGCAAAAGGAUGUCUGUUCCUGUCACUAGGAAUUUGCUUCCUAAUGCUAUUAUAGGGGGGGGUGAGGUCUCUGAGGGGCUUGGCCCUCGGAGGUUGCCGCAUGCCUCCCCCGACACACCCAUGCACUUGCACGACCACACUAGCAUGCAUUUCCUUUUCCCAAGUCGUGGCAUGCCGACGCCGACGCCGACGCCGACGCCGGUUUUUU